GGACGUAUGGCCCAAUGGCAAGGCGCGUGACGUAUGCAAUACACAUUCCGAUUGAUAACUAUAACUAACCGUCCAUAGUACGAAUCACGAGAUUCCAGGUUCGACCCCUGGUACGUUCA